ncrna:Schistosoma mansoni type-P1 twister ribozyme
UCUAUAAUUCCGUCUGUAGCUCUUAUAGAGUUACUGCCGGUCCCAAGCCUGGGUAAAGGAGGAGGGUUGG